rnacentral:rRNA from 1 species
UACGUAGGCAGCGAGCGUUGUUCGGAGUUACUGGGCGUAAAGGGCUCGUAGGCGGCCAACUAAGUCAGACGUGAAAUCCCUCGGCUUAACCGGGGAACUGCGUCUGAUACUGGAUGGCUUGAGGUUGGGAGAGGGAUGCGGAAUUCCAGGUGUAGCGGUGAAAUGCGUAGAUAUUCGCAAGAACACCGGUGGCGAAGGCGGCCAACUGGACCAUUACUGACGCUGAGGCGCGAAAGCGUGGGGGAGCAAACAGG